UACGUAGGCAGCAAGCGUUGUUCGGAAUUACUGGGCGUAAAGAGUGUGUAGGCGGUGCUCUAAGUUUGGUGUGAAAUCUCCCGGCUCAACCGGGAGGCUGCAUCGAAUACUGGAAUGCUAGAGGGUGGGAGAGGUAAGCGGAAUUCCUGGUGUAGCGGUGAAAUGCGUAGAUAUCAGGAGGAACACCCGUAGCGAAGGCGGCGCUCUGGGCCGAUACUGACACUGAGGAGCGAAAGCGUGGGGAGCGAACAGG
rnacentral:rRNA from 1 species